rnacentral:rRNA from 1 species
AUAUUUUAGGCGGCGGACGGGUGAGUAACGGUGUGGGCAACCUGCCCUGUACUGUGGAAUAAUCACUGGAAACGGUGACUAAUACCGCAUGUCAUUUGCGAGAGGGCAUCCUCUCGCAAGAAAAGGAUUUUAUUUCGGUACAGGAUGGGCCCGCAUCUGAUUAGCUAGUUGGUGAGAUAACAGCCCACCAAGGCAACGAUCAGUAGCCGACCUGAGAGGGUGAUCGGCCACAUUGGGACUGAGACACGGCCCAAACUCCUACGGGAGGCAGCAGUGGGGAAUAUUGCACAAUGGGCGUAAAGCCCUGAAUGCAGCAACGCCGCGUGAAGGAAGAAGGGUUUCGGCUCGUAAACUUCUAUCAACAGGGACGAAAAAAUGACGGUACCUGAAUAAGAAGCCCCGGCUAACUACGUGCCAGCCGCCGC